rnacentral:rRNA from 1 species
UUAAGCGACUAAGCGUACACGGUGGAUGCCCUGGCAGUCAGAGGCGAUGAAGGGCGUGCUAAUCUGCGAUAAGCGCCGGUAAGGUGAUAUGAACCGUUAUAACCGGCGAUACCCGAAUGGGGAAACCCAGUGUGACUCGUCACACUAUCAUUAACUGAAUCCAUAGGUUAAUGAGGCGAACCGGGGGAACUGAAACAUCUAAGUACCCCGAGGAAAAGAAAUCAACCGAGAUUCCCCCAGUAGCGGCGAGCGAACGGGGAGGAGCCCAGAGCCUGAAUCAGCAUGUGUGUUAGUGGAAGCGUCUGGAAAGGCGCGCGAUACAGGGUGACAGCCCCGUACACAAAAGCGCAUGUGCUGUGAGCUCGAUGAGUAGGGCGGGACACGUGGUAUCCUGUCUGAAUAUGGGGGGACCAUCCUCCAAGGCUAAAUACUCCUGACUGACCGAUAGUGAACCAGUACCGUGAGGGAAAGGCGAAAAGAACCCCGGCGAGGGGAGUGAAAAAGAACCUGAAACCGUGUACGUACAAGCAGUGGGAGCCCCACCACCAAAGCGUUUCGCUUUGUGUGGUGCACAAAGAAGCGUAACGACAGCACUGAAUGACGGUUAACGGAGCGCAAGCGACGUUCAACAUACAAAGUCAAGCAGUGGAGCGCUUUGGGGUGGGGUGACUGCGUACCUUUUGUAUAAUGGGUCAGCGACUUAUAUUCUGUAGCAAGGUUAACCGAAUAGGGGAGCCGGAGGGAAACCGAGUCUUAAUUGGGCGUUAAGUUGCAGGGUAUAGACCCGAAACCCGGUGAUCUAGCCAUGGGCAGGUUGAAGGUUGGGUAACACUAACUGGAGGACCGAACCGACUAAUGUUGAAAAAUUAGCGGAUGACCUGUGGCUGGGGGUGAAAGGCCAAUCAAACCGGGAGAUAGCUGGUUCUCCCCGAAAGCUAUUUAGGUAGCGCCUCGUGAAUUCAUCUCCGGGGGUAGAGCACUGUUUCGGCUAGGGGGCCAUCCCGGCUUACCAACCCGAUGCAAACUGCGAAUACCGGAGAAUGUUAUCACGGGAGACACACGGCGGGUGCUAACGUCCGUCGUGAAGAGGGAAACAACCCAGACCGCCAGCUAAGGUCCCAAAGUCAUGGUUAAGUGGGAAACGAUGUGGGAAGGCCCAGACAGCCAGGAUGUUGGCUUAGAAGCAGCCAUCAUUUAAAGAAAGCGUAAUAGCUCACUGGUCGAGUCGGCCUGCGCGGAAGAUGUAACGGGGCUAAACCAUGCACCGAAGCUGCGGCAGCGACGCUUAUGCGUUGUUGGGUAGGGGAGCGUUCUGUAAGCCUGUGAAGGUGGCCUGUGAGGGUUGCUGGAGGUAUCAGAAGUGCGAAUGCUGACAUAAGUAACGAUAAAGCGGGUGAAAAGCCCGCUCGCCGGAAGACCAAGGGUUCCUGUCCAACGUUAAUCGGGGCAGGGUGAGUCGACCCCUAAGGCGAGGCCGAAAGGCGUAGUCGAUGGGAAACGGGUUAAUAUUCCCGUACUUGGUGUUACUGCGAAGGGGGGACGGAGAAGGCUAUGUUGGCCGGGCGACGGUUGUCCCGGUUUAAGCGUGUAGGUGUGUGUUCCAGGUAAAUCCGGUUCACUUUAACACUGAGGCGUGACGACGAGGCACUACGGUGCUGAAGCAACAAAUGCCCUGCUUCCAGGAAAAGCCUCUAAGCAUCAGGUAACAUCAAAUCGUACCCCAAACCGACACAGGUGGUCAGGUAGAGAAUACCAAGGCGCUUGAGAGAACUCGGGUGAAGGAACUAGGCAAAAUGGUGCCGUAACUUCGGGAGAAGGCACGCUGACACGUAGGUGAAGUGAUUUACUCAUGGAGCUGAAGUCAGUCGAAGAUACCAGCUGGCUGCAACUGUUUAUUAAAAACACAGCACUGUGCAAACACGAAAGUGGACGUAUACGGUGUGACGCCUGCCCGGUGCCGGAAGGUUAAUUGAUGGGGUCAGCGCAAGCGAAGCUCCUGAUCGAAGCCCCGGUAAACGGCGGCCGUAACUAUAACGGUCCUAAGGUAGCGAAAUUCCUUGUCGGGUAAGUUCCGACCUGCACGAAUGGCGUAAUGAUGGCCAGGCUGUCUCCACCCGAGACUCAGUGAAAUUGAACUCGCUGUGAAGAUGCAGUGUACCCGCGGCAAGACGGAAAGACCCCGUGAACCUUUACUAUAGCUUGACACUGAACAUUGAGCCUUGAUGUGUAGGAUAGGUGGGAGGCUUUGAAGUGUGGACGCCAGUCUGCAUGGAGCCGACCUUGAAAUACCACCCUUUAAUGUUUGAUGUUCUAACGUGGACCCGUAAUCCGGGUUGCGGACAGUGUCUGGUGGGUAGUUUGACUGGGGCGGUCUCCUCCUAAAGAGUAACGGAGGAGCACGAAGGUUGGCUAAUCCUGGUCGGACAUCAGGAGGUUAGUGCAAUGGCAUAAGCCAGCUUGACUGCGAGCGUGACGGCGCGAGCAGGUGCGAAAGCAGGUCAUAGUGAUCCGGUGGUUCUGAAUGGAAGGGCCAUCGCUCAACGGAUAAAAGGUACUCCGGGGAUAACAGGCUGAUACCGCCCAAGAGUUCAUAUCGACGGCGGUGUUUGGCACCUCGAUGUCGGCUCAUCACAUCCUGGGGCUGAAGUAGGUCCCAAGGGUAUGGCUGUUCGCCAUUUAAAGUGGUACGCGAGCUGGGUUUAGAACGUCGUGAGACAGUUCGGUCCCUAUCUGCCGUGGGCGCUGGAGAACUGAGGGGGGCUGCUCCUAGUACGAGAGGACCGGAGUGGACGCAUCACUGGUGUUCGGGUUGUCAUGCCAAUGGCACUGCCCGGUAGCUAAAUGCGGAAGAGAUAAGUGCUGAAAGCAUCUAAGCACGAAACUUGCCCCGAGAUGAGUUCUCCCUGAGACUUUAGGUCUCCUGAAGGAACGUUGAAGACGACGACGUUGAUAGGCCGGGUGUGUAAGCGCAGCGAUGCGUUGAGCUAACCGGUACUAAUGAACCGUGAGGCUUAACCUU